rnacentral:rRNA from 1 species
UACGUAGGGGGCGAGCGUUGUCCGGAAUCAUUGGGCGUAAAGCGCGUGUAGGCGGCCCGGUAAGUCCGCUGUGAAAGUCCAGGCUCAACCCUGGGAUGCCGGUGGAUACUGUCGGGCUCGAGUCCGGAAGAGGCGAGUGGAAUUCCUGGUGUAGCGGUGAAAUGCGCAGAGUAUCAGGAGGAACACCAAUGGCGAAGGCAGCUCGCU